UUUUAAAAAAAUGUUAUUAUAAAAACACGUCUUUACUCUCUGGUAUCCUGAAGCCGUCUUUCGUACCUAACACAUAAAGACAGAGCCGCUUACUCUGCAUCAUUCUACAAGACUAUAUUAAAUUAAUGUUCUCUCCAUAAAACUAAAAUAAACACUACCUUUCUACAUUAUUGGUUUUGGGAGCAUACAUUUCCUAAACCUAGAUACGCGUAUAUCUCUCUUUGCUACAGCUUGAAGGAUUUUUUUUUAUUACGUAAGCUAAGCUAUUAACAAAAUGUUUUUACACUCUAAACCAGGGGUGGGCAACCUUUUUGUAUUGAGGGCCGCAUUAACAAACAUUUGGGAAUGGCGGGCCGCAUAUAUAUAUAUAUGCCUAUAUAACUUAUAAAGAUACGCUAGCUAACUGUGUAGAAUCUCUUUUAGUUCAUAUUUACACUGUAUUAGAUUCACGUUUCUUUCAUUUUUUUCCACACUCCACGUUGAAAAAUUACAACAAGAGUUUGCAAUGUUUAAAACCAAUUUUACGAUUUUUGGUCUUUUUAUAUCCCACUAUCCCCACAAUAAUACAGAUGUACUUAACAUGCAGUAUUUUACUUUUUACACUCGUGCAUAAAAAUGUUCCGGAACUGUGAAACUAUCUUACUAGUUUCUACCCUUGUAGCUGCUGUUAAAGUACAGUAAGUCACCAUUGACCAGUGAUUAUAUUUGUUUAGUUUCCACGAAUAAAAAAAAACGCUUUUUCACUGAAUGAGACAUUAUAUGUUCCGGAGGUUAAAUGUCUGGACGAGCGAAACUUGCCUUUGUUGAGAAUUACCAGGGAAUGCUGACCAUGUCCAUCAAUGGUGCAUGCUAAAUCAAAAGACCCGAACAUGACUCUGGCCCCAAAGCCCUCCGAAGACCAUUCGGAGAACUGCCUGAUCUGGAAGCCACUGCGCGGUUUAUCUCAGAUAUAGAAUUACUCAUCUGAACCCUCCAACAUGUAAAAUAAGAACGAAGAAGAGGAAAAACAGAUGUAUGUGUACCCAGAUAGUAUGAACAGCAGCAGGGUUUCUUUAAGUUGAAAAUACAGCUUCUGGCACCCAUAAGACUCAUGUAGAAGUACUGACUGGAACUUCUCUUUGCUUCAAGUUAUGUCCUCUGAAGCUGAAUCAGCUUCUGCGCUAAAUGGUGAGCUGAUGGUAUUGAAAACUGGUUCUUGACGUCUUAAAAUUUGCUUUUAUAAAUUGCACAAUUAAGGAAUCUUAAUAAGUGUUGUACUUUUCAUCAUUUCACUAGAAGUAAUUUCCCCUUUCAGCAAAGGAAAAUGACAAAGCCUGUUUUCUUUUGCUUGCUGUAGAAAUGGGAAAGCCUUGUUUGAAACGAUCUAACAUGCAUUCACAUUUCAUAUGCUAACAACCAAUUGCAAUGGAGAUAAAAAAAAUGAAAUCUUUAUUCCACUUUUCAUUAGAAAUAUGAAUAACAAAGUCACGGUCAAUGUCCUUCGAGGAACAUAACAAUUUCUUAGAUGGGAUUUUACUUACUUCUCAUUUGCCUUGCCCAUGCUAGGCUAACGUAUACAUUGGAUUAUUUUGUUUUUAAAUCGGAACUACCCGUGGUUGUCACCCCUGGGCCCUGGCGAUAGUAUCCCUGUUUGUUUCCCAAUAUAUGCGGAGGUAACAUGGAAUUUUAUGUAGAGUUGUGCAAACUUUCCUGUUUGGGUUGGGAAUUUUUUUUUCACAGUCAAAUAUCGAUCUUCGCCAGUUUGUUACACUUGACAUCUUGUGCCAAGCCUACCCAACACUCAGAGAUUGUGUCUUAAAUUGAGAGUAUUAAUGUAUAAGCAUAAUCUUCGUUUACUUCAAACCCUAAAUAAUGAGAAAUUUCAAUAAUUCAUAUAGAAUUAUUUUAAUAAUUGCAUUUUUAUAUGUAUAUAGGCCUACUGUGGGUGACUGCGGGAAGCAUAAAACACUCCGGCGGGCCGCAUGUGGCCCGCGGUCACUAAUUUGCCCACCCCUGCUCUAAACUAUGGCUAACUUUUCUUAAUGCUGCCAGCCUACUGAAUGCCGCUAAAUGUGUAAUAGUUUUAUGAGUUGAGACUAUGAAACGUUUAACAAUAGGAAGCUAUUUGAAAAAAUUGUUUUUUUCUUAAAAGACCCAAUCAGGUGCGAAUUCCGUGCAAAUGUAUCACAUCCCUAAAAGUAACGCCAUAUCCCAAGAAUCUCGUGACAGGAAGCGAGGCCGAGAGAUGAGCACACGGGGAAAACUCCAUUUUCCUUCGAUGUAUCACAGGGCCAACAAUGGCCCUUUCAAACAUAGUGUUUGGAUCGUAACAAGGCUGUUGGGGGUCUCUCACAUCCCAUUCAGUCCAAUAAACACCAACAGAAGUGUCUUUUUAUUUUUUUCUUUGCUUCUCUUUUUGCAAAGCUGUCUCCUAUAAGGACUUUUUCCUAUUAGUAGCCUUUUUUUCAGGCUAAGAAGCGUAGACAAUACUGAAUACCACUUAACUAAUUAUUAUGAUAAUUAUUUAUUAUUAACUCGCUUCGUCUUACUGUCUGGGUGGAAUCUUUUACACGUCAUUUCUCCCACUUCCCUUUCCCUAGUCAAGUUUAAAAUUUACACAAUUUUUCUUUGUCAAAGACAAAACAUAAAUCAAUCAAAAUAUGAUUCAAUCAUGGAACUAUACUAAUGGAACACCAGCUUCGAGAUUUUAUGAUCAGAGUGCCGUCGCGCAUCUUUUUUCGCGCACCAUACCAAUUUGAAAAAUCGAUGAGGAUGCCAAAGAAGAAAUUUACUCCGAGAGCCACUUGGAUUGACCUUCAUUGAGAGUAAAACUUCCCCACACUAUAUUUUAUUAGAUCUGUAAAAACUUUAUCCAUUUUUUGACUAUCUGAUAAAAUAGAUAGAAUUUCCCUGAAUAAGAGAUCGUCACAAAAGAUUUUUUUUUAAGGCCACUUCGUUAAAAUAGGUGUUUCCAGUACUUCCUCAUUUGGGUAUUUUACACAAAAUUUGGAAUUUUUUUAAUGUAGAUGUCAUUUUUAUCAUCUUUCCCGCGCAACCAAACCAUCCACUUUUCCCGGUCACCAAUGUUCUUAACAAGAUAUCAAGAGAGAGAGGCUGGUCCAUUAUUUGCGUAGUCCAGCCAGCUUUUUUUUUUGACAACCUUUUUUCGUUCUCUCUCAUGAAGGAUAUGUUUGAAAAUUAGUCUUACAAAAUACAAUUCCAAACCAACUCAUGCAGUUAUCGUCUUUUCACACUAUUGAGGAGUCAUCCUUUUUGCUAGCCAGAGUGUUAAUUGGCAAAAGUGAAAAAUUCAUUUGUUUAAUUUUUUAAAGUAAAUAUUCAUAACUAUAUCUUUUAUAUAAUAAUAUAUUUUUAAAAUAAUAAUCUUUUAUAUAGACAUGCUUUAAUAGAUCUAAUAAAUGAUUAACUCGGACCUACCAAUAUGGGUAUAUAAAUACUUAAAUCUGGGUAUUUAAAAUUUCGAAUGCGAAUUUUUAAAAAACCGAACUUAUAUAUAGAUCUAGAUCUCUUGUAAAAAAUGUAUAAUAUCUAGAAUAAUAUUAUUAAUAUAGAUCUAGAUCUACAACACCUAGACUAAAGUUAAAGACUAAGGUCUAGAUUUAUUUAACGUUUUAAAAGAUCUACAACACCUAGACUAAAGUUAAAGACUAAGGUCUAGAUUUAUUUAACGUUUUAAAAAAAUCAAUAGAUCUAAUAUACUAUAAUAUAGACAGUCAUGAGAUCCACUCUAUUUUAUCUAGAUCUAGACCAUACAUGAGAUCAAUAAUUGUCAAUAUGAAUAUUUAUAGAUCUAGUCUAGAGUCUAGAUUAGAUCUAUCGAUCAUCUAGUCUGUCUAGUAUAGCUAUACUUAUACACUUUUACAGUUUAUGAGUAUAGGCCUACUCAUACGAGUCAUACUGGCUAUACUAUAGUAUAGACACUAUAGUAUAUAGUUAGUAUAGUUAAUACUUUUUAAUAGUAGAUCUAUCAAUUCUAUCUAAAUCUAGACUUCACUUUCACAUCACAUUCAUACGAUUAUUGAUACAGACAGUGAAUGAAACGAAUGCAGUGGUCAUACAGAUUAUACUUAAAGUGACGAUACUACUUAUAGAUCUACCAGUUGAUAAACAUCAUCAUCAUAGAUAAUAAUCUACAUCUAUAAUUCUAUAAUCAUAGUGCCCUUUAUUUAGUCAAUAUAGUCAAGUCAAGGUAGUGGAACGUAAACUCGAAGGUUUAAUACAAUACGUUAUUAACAAGUAGAACCAUGGCAACCAGCUCUGAUGAUGUACCAGAAUGGCUCAAGGAUCAUACUUAUACUAUUUCUACUCUCUGGGCAUCCAUUCAAUAUUUAAUUUAUGUUUGGAAAUGCAAGAAAAAGGCAUGCAUUCCUGAAAAGUCAAUGAUUGGUUGCACCUCUUAAAGAUAACUUUCUGUUAUGAGAAAAGAUGAGAUUCUUGGACUCCUGCAUAGCACCACCAGAAAGGAAAAUACCAUCAUGUUGCAAAAUAAAAGUCUUGGACCAAUUUUAAUUUAAGAUAUAUAUAUAUUACACUGUAAGCUGUAUACAUAUUUAUGUAUAUCCUGUCAUUCAGCCAACAGGUUUGGAUUUAGUAUUUCUUUAAAUCUGUUUAAUAUUGUACUUGAAAACUAUUAAUCUGAGCCCCAUUAAAACAAGAGGGAGUGCAGUGGAUGAGUGGUAAGGGAAAUUUUACUUUUUUAAAAUUAAAAUAAGAAUCUAACAAAAGUAAACAUAUAAAAUAUGGUGCAUUCUCCUUAAAACUAAAACCUGGUGCAAAGGUUUAAAAUGUUGGCAAAAAAAAAGCAACAUCAAUUAUUCUUAAUUCCCUUUGCAAAACUUACUGAGAAGAACAUGCAUGUUGUUCCCUCAUAAGUUUCUUGACAGAGGAAAUCUUGUUUAUAUUAGCUUUGAAUUAAGCAAAUUAAGAAAAAAAUUAUAAUCAUUAUUUAAAAUGGUUGUAUCUAAACCUUAUGAAUUAUUUUUCAGUUAUAAGUAUAUUGAAAUGAAUGGAUAAUCAUGAAAUUGUUAAAUAAUUGCUGCUUUCAUUCCAUUGACUCAAGAACCAUAAUUUUUUUUUUAUUAAUUUCAAAAUGAUUUUUUUCAAGCAGAGUUCACAUAGAUCUUGAGUGAAAUUUUUCUUUUUUUGACUAAUGCUUCAAUUUUAUUGUAUCAUUAGUU